AUGAUUCACCAUUCAUCAUCAAUACAUGAAAAAGAAAGAGAAGAAGCAAAAGUUGUUAGCACAUGUUCUUCUUUUCCGGCACCCUUUCGCCCUCUCUCUCUCUCUCAUUUUCUUUUCUGUUUUGUUUUGGUUUUUAAGGAUGAAGAUGAUGUAUUACGAAAGAGAGAGAGACCGUGGGGUCUCUGA